rnacentral:piRNA from 1 species
UGCUCUAGGAGCUAAGGACUUGCAUUUUCA